ACGGGAGUCCGGUGAGCCGGGCUGAGAGGAAGACACCCAGUCUUCGACCGUCGAACCUGAUCUGGAUCAUGCCAGCGCAGGGAGGCUUCCAUCUCGCACCC
rnacentral:ncRNA from 1 species